GACGAACGCUGGCGGCGCGCCUAACACAUGCAAGUCGAACGAGAGAGAGGGAGCUUGCUUCCUCGAUCGAGUGGCGAACGGGUGAGUAACGAGUGAGGAACCUGCCUCAAAGAGGGGGACAACAGUUGGAAACGACUGCUAAUACCGCAUAAGCCCACGGGUCGGCAUCGACCAGAGGGAAAAGGAGUGAUCCGCUUUGAGAUGGCCUCGCGUCCGAUUAGCUAGUUGGUGAGGUAACGGCCCACCAAGGCAACGAUCGGUAGCCGGACUGAGAGGUUGAACGGCCACAUUGGGACUGAGACACGGCCCAGACUCCUACGGGAGGCAGCAGUGGGGAAUAUGGCACAAUGGGGGAAACCCUGAUGCAGCGACGCCGCGUGGAGGAAGAAGGUCUUCGGAUUGUAAACUCCUGUUGUUGAGGAAGAUAAUGACGGUACUCAACAAGGAAGUGACGGCUAACUACGUGCCAGCCGCCGCAGUAAUAC
rnacentral:rRNA from 1 species